rfam:Rhizobium sp. PDO1-076 strain PDO-076 ctg15, whole genome shotgun sequence.
GAAAAACUCGAACGUACUUAUCGUGGUGGGACAGCGCAUGGGCAGGAUGGUGUAACCAUCCGGCGUUAGCCACCCAUGCGCUAGAUGACAGGCUCCUCAAGGGGCCUUUUUUUAUGCCCAAAA